UCGAGCGAGAAGUGGAGCAAUCCAUGAGUAAAGCGGCGUACGGGUGAGUAACACGUGGAUGAUCUACCCUCUAGUGGGGAAUAACCCUGGGAAACCGGGGCUAAUACCGCAUAAGCACGAGAGUGGAAAGCAGCAAUGCGCUGGAGGAGGAGUCCGCGGCCGAUUAGCUAGUUGGCAGGGUAAAAGCCUACCUAGGCAAAGAUCGGUAGCCGGCCUGAGAGGGCACACGGCCACACUGGCACUGAAACACGGGCCAGACUCCUACGGGAGGCAGCAGUGGGGAAUCUUGCACAAUGGGGGAAACCCUGAUGCAGCGACGCCGCGUGAGCGAUGAAGCCCUUCGGGGUGUAAAGCUCUUUCGGCAGGGAAGAUGAUGACGGUACCUGCAGAAGCAGCUGCGGCUAACUACGUGCCAGCAGCCGCGGUAAUACGUAGGCAGCAAGCGUUG
rnacentral:rRNA from 1 species